UUCCGGCUUUCCAUCAGCCGGGAUUACUAAGAGGCACACCUUCAUUGCCCGAAGUGCGGUAGGGUUCUCCCACCAAUCAAAGGCAGACAAAGCCGAACAAAGCUCUUGGCGGGGCGUUGUUCAAACAACCGCGCAUUAUGCGCAUGUCUG
rfam:Rhizobium sp. Leaf453 contig_2, whole genome shotgun sequence.